AGUGGGGACCAAAAUUUCAAUCUAAUCUGGAAGUAACAGAUCCAAUCAGUCCUCACUAAUAUGAUAUGAUAAUAUGAUUAUGGCCUAUGUGACUCCCAAACCACCAGUUAGCAGAGAAAUUCUUUCCCACUCAGAGCUGGUCAGACAUUUUCUAUGUCCACGAACUCCAUGGCUGAGAAUUUUAUGAUCCUCAGGCACAGAAAGGGAAGGGCCAGCCCCAUUUACUGGCUGAUCUCCCAGCUUCAGUUUUGAACAGGGCAGUGUUCCAGGGGUCUAGGUAUCUCUGUCAGGACUGGAAAGA
rnacentral:lncRNA from 1 species